rnacentral:misc_RNA from 1 species
CUCUGGUGCACUCAUCCUACUCGAGCGUUGCCUUCACCACCGCAGGGUCACUGUUUCUGUUGGUGCUGCUGCUGCCACAAGAGAGGGAGAAAGGAAGUAGAAGGGGGUGCGGUGGCAACCGUCGUUGUCGCUGCUGUAGCUCCGCCACUGCCAUUGCUGCCCGCCUUGCUCUUCACAGCUCUUCUCGCUCGCAACACGUGCGCUCUCUCUUACCAAUGCCUGAUGCCUGUGUGUGUGUUCAUCCGUCAAACAUGUACGUAUCCUGUGAUUUCAUAUGAGAGCUGGUUUCGCUCUCCUUCACUUGCUGUGUAUCCUCUUCGCCCCUUUCCUCAUCUCUCUGUCUGUGUCUGUGUGUGUGCCCUCACCUGCCCCCUUCUCUGCCUCCUUCAUGACCUGUCUGCUUGGUCUUCUCUGUGCUUCUCCAUUUCGCUUUCUCCCUCCGCUUUCUCGUGCUGUGCGUUCCUUUCUCGUGUUCGCCUUCGAUGGUGAUGUUGCGUGCUGCGUUGCUGAUAUCCAUCUUGAUGGCGACUGGCUGAUUGUUCUUCUUUAUACGGGGAAGGGGGGUGCUCGCUCUCCAACGAAGGCCCCCAACAUUUUCCUCGAUAUCAUUGUGGUCGUGGAUGGAGGGACUGCGCUGCCUGGGAGAGGAUGGUGUGUGCUGCUGGUAUCGUGGCUAUGGUGGUGGUGAUGGCGCGAGCGUAUGCGCGUCUCUCCCGCUCUCUGUUUAUGCGCAUCUACGGGACCGCGCUAGCCUCGUUUAGAAUCCACGGAUGCAACGCACGGCUGCUUACCUGUGACAUGGACGGGACGUGCGACACACUGGCGCACACAGUCUCCUGCACAUGCACCGGCAAGAAACGUAUACACGCAUAUCCUUCCCUUGUGUGAACCGCAGGAGAGCUCUUCAGCGUGUGCAUGUGCCCCUCUCGGGUUAGUGAGGUGAGGGGCAGGGGUGGGGUCGAUGAGAAGACGAGCACUGCAUGUCGUGAGCGCGGCCGCCCAUCCUCUGUUUUGGUGCACGCGCUCUCUUCAUCUUUUCCGUCGCUCUGCUCCUCUGUGUUGGGUGCGCAUUCGCUAAUCUCGGGCUGACGGCUCUCGUUCUCACGUACGGGACCGCAUGUGAGCGGGCGCGUGGGUGUGCGCUACCGUGAGAACACAUAGAGCGCGCCCCCACGUGCACACGCGCGCGCCUCGCUGGAGGAGGUUGCCGGAUCAUUUGGAUGCGCCGAUGGAAGAGAAAACCAAAGAGCGAAAAACUGAAGGAAUGCACUGUGAGCAGACACCCAGGCAGUGCGCUGGUACCAUCGCUGGCAGUGGAGAUGCCGUGCAUCGUCGUCCUGCCCCCACCCCCCUUCACACUGAGCACUGUAUGGCGAAGGGAGAUCGCAUAUGAGUCGAAAGCUGCAUCAUCACGUAUCGAAGGUAGUUCGUGCACAGAUGUCAGUGCGUAGCCGCUGUAAAGAAAAGGUAACAGAGGAGGCGUUUCGCUGCUGGUCCACCCAGUAGGCUGAGGGCGAUUUCCGUGCUUGCCUCGGCGUCAUUGGCUCACAUACGACCAACCUUUUCUUCUGCGCCCUGCCCUGUGCACGUGUACGUGCUUCCCUCCCUAAG